AGAGGAACGGCAUCGAUUGCUAAUAUGCUGUCUGCUUUCAACCCCCAAAGGAUUAUUUUCAGAAUGAAAUGAUCUGUGGUCUUUAAGUGGUGGGGAUGGGAGGAGCUGAAGAAUUCUUGAUCCUUCGAAGAGGUCCCAGUGGACUUGAUUUCUCAGUGGAAACAAAGGGAUUUCCUUCCUCAGUGGGAAAGAGACACCAAGUGAUAAACCGAGCACCCUCUUUGAAGAUUUCCCGGUAUAUUUGUCCCUAGAGGAGUGCGCCUCCGGGAGAUUUAUUGUUGGAAGCUUUUAGCCUCAAGCAUAAUUUUUAAAAGUAUGUAUUUCCCUAGAAACAGAGUAGCUCCAUUUAAAAGUCACAGGUGCCCCCAAGCUCUGCUCGGAAGAUUACCUCAAGUUUCAUUUCAUACCCGUCUCAGACCUGGAGGCAAAUUACUUAGUUCAUCACUCUGAAAAUGGAUUUUUUUCCCUUCUACUUCCCGUUUCCGUACCUGCCAUCUUGUGGAAAGGGACGUGCUUCCCAAGAGAUGAGAAAUGGACAGGAGUGAAGCCCGAGUCCAAGCACUGUGAUUUUUUAUCUCCCAUGAAUGUGCAGGAAUAUUUAGUCAGGGAGAUCAUCUUCCUGGAGAAAUUGGUCCAUCCUACUCCUGGAGUGCUGUGUUAGUUGUAGUUGCUCCGGUGCCAGCUCGAAGACCAGGGUCAGAGUAUAGUCGCUUAUGUGGGAGGUUAAGCCACAAAACACUGGCAGAAGAAGGGGAAAAUAAGACAAGGAUGCGAAGCAAUCAGGAAAGGGCAUGUCAUGAAGCAAGGCACUGUUCUGGGCAAUUGGAGCUUACACCUGCUGGGGAAGCCUGAGAUAGUGGGGAACAUGUGCUUCACAGUGACGCUGGUGAGGGCCGGGGGAACUGGGGUAUUAAUACACCAAUUCCAUCUGUUAUUGAUUGAGGGCUGCUUACUGGUGGUAUUGAGUCCCUGGCACUUCAGGUCAGAGAAAGCCCUUGAUCAUAGAGAACAUCAAGCCAUGGGGCCUGGAGUGCCAAGGGCUGAGUGGAUGUGGGCAAUGGCCAAUGACAAUAGCUACCAUCUGUGGAUUGAAUCUUCGGCAUCUCAUUUCUUCUAAGUCUCCUUAAUCUCUGUGCUUGGUGCUGAGGUGAAGCAAACAAUAAAGAUCCAGUGUUGUCCUUAGGAUGCUCACACUUCAGUGAGUGAGUUGAGGAAGCUAAACAGGUACAUAUCUGGGUACUGGAGAUGCAGCAGAAAAUAAGACAAGCAAAACUUCCAGAUCUCCUGGAGCUUGUAGUCUAACAGGUGAGGCAGACAAUGAACCAGAUGCUUGGCUAAAAUGUGUGUAUUUGAGAUAAUAAUAUGUUAAAGAACAAAAUGAAGGAGGGUGGCUAGUGGGGAAUUUCUCUGACUAGGAUAAGAAGAGGGUUGUAACUUCAGAUAGGUUGGCUAGGGAGGGCUGGGUUGAGACAAGUCUUCCGAGGGAAGAUUGUAAAGAACUGAGGGAACAAGUUCUGAGGUUGCCUGAGAGAGGCAACUUCCAAGUUCUUGGAAGAGCACCUGUUAGUGCUCCAAGAAGGAGCCACGGCUCAUGUCUUGGGAACAUUGUGUUCCUGGUUGGUGUGCCUGGAGUAAGUGAAGGGGCAAUGGGAGGAAGGGGGAUCCCAGUGACGCAGGUCUCAUUGGUCAUUGUGGGGAUGUUGGCUUUUAUGGCAAGUGACGUAGAGGCCAGUGGAUGAUUGUGAGUAGAGGGGUGCCUUGACGUGAGUUGCAUUCCAACAGGAUUAUUUUGGCUGCUGUGAGGAUAACAUGAUGUGGAUCAAGCAAGUAAGGAGUCCAGUGUCAUAAUACAUAGAAGCAACAUUGGUGGCUUAGAUAAGGGAGAUAGAAAUGGACAGGGUUGUUUCCCGACACAAUACUGUUCUUUUGUCUGCUUACUCUUGUUUCUCCAUUUCUAGCAAUAGUUACGAAUUCAUAAUUCCUGUUGACAUUUCCUGCACUUUCAUGAGUUUCUUGAGCCCUGUCUGUUUCCCCGGUUUCAUUAUUAUCAAACAGCUCAGCUGUGAUAGACUGCUGAUCUUCAUCUUCAUAUCGAUUAAUUUCGUUUUCACAUGCAUCACCCGCGUUUCCAGCAUCUUCUGCACAGUUUUCAGAUGAUGAGUCAUUUGCGAACGACAGAUUUUCAUUAUAGGAGUCAUCUUUGGAGCAGGAUGUGUUGGACUAGACUCAGUGCAAGUAUCCAUUUGAGUCAAGCCUGGAGCACCACCGGUUUAUAAGGAAACAUCCUCUUUGGAUCAUCUUUUCAUGGCCACCGUAGGAUUUAGAAGAAAUGCAGGACCUGAACUGAAACCAGUGUUGUCCAAUCUCAGCACUGCAGCUAGUCUGCUUGGCAACCAGAGCCCAGGCACUGUAGCCUCUGAGACUUGUACUGCAGUCAUUUAGGAAAAUCUGUCUUGAUCUGUUUGUCUCUGUCUCUGUCCCUCUCUUUCUCCUCACCAACAUUGUCUCUAUUUUAAUUUUUGAACUUUAAAAAAUGCUUUAAUUAUUACUGGUAAGUAAAAAAGUCGUGCUAAUGAGAUACACAUCUAGAAAAAGGUCACCUAGACUUUCCAAAGUGAAAAUUGACUUCAGGAAGAGCCAGCACCACCAGCUUUAAGCCCUGGACAGUGCUGCUAAGUGUAUACCUUAAAGUGGGUAGGCAUUAGCUGGGAUCAUUUGAAACACAGAUUUUGAUUCAUUAGGACUAGGGUGAGCCUGGACUUUUGCUUUUCUUAGGAGCUCCUGGUGGUGUUAAUGAGGCUGAUCUGUGGACCAUACUGAGUAGCAAGGCCCUAUAAAACUGCUACCUCAUCUCUCUCUUCCUCUGUCUCUUCAUCCUCAAUUAUAUGUUUUCCUUCAAACAUCAACAUUCAGAAUAAAUGAGAAAUCAUGUUUUAUUCAAUAUAUUUAUUUUUGUGUUUUGUUUAAAAGUGACUACAUUUUAGCUAUACUAUGAGUUAAAAAGACUUUCUGUGUGUGUAUAAGGAGGGAUAGCUUUUCCAGGAAUGAAAGUACCAUUGAGACCAUACUUUGCAUGGUCCCAGAUCUAA